AUUGAACGCUGGCGGCAGGCCUAACACAUGCAAGUCGAACGGUAACAGGAAGAAGCUUGCUUCUUUGCUGACGAGUGGCGGACGGGUGAGUAAUGUCUGGGAAACUGCCUGAUGGAGGGGGAUAACUACUGGAAACGGUAGCUAAUACCGCAUAACGUCGCAAGACCAAAGAGGGGGACCUUCGUGCCUCUUGCCAUCGGAUGUGCCCCGAUGGGAUUAGCUAGUAGGUGGGGUAACGGCUCACCUAGGCGACGAUCCCUAGCUGGUCUGAGAGGAUGACAAGCCACACUGGAACUGAGACACGGUCCAGACUCCUACGGGAGGCAGCAGUGGGGAAUAUUGCACAAUGGGCGCAAGCCUGAUGCAGCCAUGCCGCGUGUAUGAAGAAGGCCUUCGGGUUGUAAAGUACUUUCAGCGGGGAGGAAGGGAGUAAAGUUAAUACCUUUGCUCAUUGACGUUACCCGCAGAAGAAGCACCGGCUAACUCCGUG
rnacentral:rRNA from 1 species